GAUGAACGCUGGGGCCUGAAGAAAAGAGGGACAUGCAAGUCGAGCGAACCCUUCGGGGUGAGCGGCGGACGGGUGAGUAACGCGUGGGUAACCUGUCCUGUACACACGGAUAACAUACCGAAAGGUAUGCUAAUACGAGAUAAAAUGUAAUGAUCGCAUGGUCGAUACAUCAAAGCUCCGGCGGUACAGGAUGGACCCGCGUCUGAUUAGCUAGUUGGUGAGGUAAUGGCUCACCAAGGCGACGAUCAGUAGCCGACCUGAGAGGGUGAUCGGCCACAUUGGAACUGAGACACGGUCCAAACUCCUACGGGAGGCAGCAGUGGGGAAUAUUGCUCAUUCUCUUGAAAGCCUGAUGCAGCAACGCCGCGUGAGCGAUGAAGGCCUUCGGGUCGUAAAGCUCUGUCCUCAAGGAAGAUAAUGACGGUACUUGAGGAGGAAGCCCCGGCUAACUAC
rnacentral:rRNA from 1 species